UACGUAGGGGGCUAGCGUUGUCCGGAAUCAUUGGGCGUAAAGAGCGUGUAGGCGGCUCGAUAAGUCCGCUGUGAAAGUCCGGGGCUCAACCCUGGGAUGCCGGUGGAUACUGUCGGGCUCGAGUCCGGAAGAGGCGAGUGGAAUUCCUGGUGUAGCGGUGAAAUGCGCAGAUAUCAGGAGGAACACCAAUGGCGAAGGCAGCUCGCUGGGACGUGACUGACGCUGAGACGCGAAAGCGUGGGGAGCAAACAGG
rnacentral:rRNA from 1 species